rnacentral:rRNA from 1 species
CAUGUCUUUUUGUUUAUGAUUUAAAGUCUAACCUGCCCAGUGAUUAUUUUAAAUGGCCGCGGUAUUUUGACCGUGCGAAGGUAGCAUAAUAAUUAGCUUUUUGAUUGGGAGCUGGUAUGAAUGGUUGAACGAGAAAAUUACUGUCUCUUUAUAAUUUAAAUUAGAAUUUAAUUUUUGAGUAAAAAAGCUUAAAUGUUAGUAAAAGACGAGAAGACCCUAUAGAGUUUAAUAUUUAUUUGAUUGUUUUUAUUUUUGAAUUUAAAUAUAAUUAUUAAAUUAAGUAUUUAGUUGGGGUGAUUGAAAGACUUAAUAAACUCUUUUUAUAUAAUUACACUUAUAUGUGAUAUUUUGAUCCAUUAUUUUUGAUUAAAAGAUUAAAUUACCUUAGGGAUAACAGCGUUAUUUUUUUAGAGAGUUCAAAUCGAUAAAAGAAAUUGCGACCUCGAUGUUGGAUUAAAGUUUAUUUUAGGAGCAAAAGCUUAAUUAUUUGGUCUGUUCGACCAUUAAAACUUUACAUGAUCUGAGU